rnacentral:piRNA from 1 species
UUGAUGUCUACCAUAUGGUCUACCUAAUGA